GUCACGUGAGUCCUGACAAUCUUAUUUUUUUUAAGGGUCUAAGUCUGCUGGAUAAUGGGUUCGUCUGUGAACCAAACGGGACAGUCGACCUCUUACCCAGUUUGUUCUGGAGGGCCUCCAGGAUGCUGUCGGAGUCGCAAAGCAUGCAGGGAGUUGUAGUGCAGAUCUGGAUGUGGUACUUGCCCACCGGCUGCCUCAGGAACAUGGUGUAGAACGUCGCUACCUCAUAGAUCCUCAUCGGAGGGACCUCAAGCACCUCGGCCACCUGGGAGAAAAGAGAGAGAGAGAAACAAUUCUGAAAAAUGAAGGCUCGUGGACAGUAGGAGCGUUAAUCUAAUAAUGGAUGGAGUACUGAACACACCCCAAGUCUACACAGGUUCUGUCGAAUUCUAUCGUUCUACAAAUCGUUGCCAAACAGCAGCAAAAAAAAAAAUAAAGAACAUACUCUAUUCUAAAAACAGA